GUUAAUGUAGCUUACAACCAAAAGCAAGGCACUGAAAAUGCCUAGACGGGCUCCUGCCCCAUAAACA
rnacentral:tRNA from 1 species